UGACCAACCGUCCUGGUUUGCCUGGGACUGAGGAGGAUCCUGGGAUGUGGGAUUUCAGGGUUA
rnacentral:miRNA from 1 species